AAGCAUAUCAAUAAGCGGAGGAAAAGAAACCAACAGGGAUUGCCCUAGUAACGGCGAGUGAAGCGGCAACAGCUCAAAUUUGAAAUCUGGCCUCGGCCCGAGUUGUAAUUUGCAGAGGAUGCUUCUGGCGCGGUGCCUUCCGAGUUCCCUGGAACGGGACGCCACAGAGGGUGAGAGCCCCGUAUGGUCGGACACCAAGCCUGUGUGAAGCUCCUUCGACGAGUCGAGUAGUUUGGGAAUGCUGCUCUAAAUGGGAGGUAAAUCUCUUCUAAAGCUAAAUACCGGCCAGAGACCGAUAGCGCACAAGUAGAGUGAUCGAAAGAUGAAAAGCACCUUGAAAAGGGGGUUAAAUAGUACGUGAAAUUGUUGAAAGGGAAGCACUUAUGACCAGACUUGGGCCGGGCGGCUCAUCAGGGGUUCUCCCCUGUGCACUCCGCCCGGCACAGGCCAGCAUCGGUUCUCGUGGGGGGAUAAGACCGUCAGGAACGUAGCACCCUCCGGGGUGUGUUAUAGCCUGGCGGACGAUACCCCCGUGGGGACCGAGGUCCGCGCUCCGCAAGGAUGCUGGCGUAAUGGUCAUCAGUGACCC
rnacentral:rRNA from 1 species